rnacentral:rRNA from 1 species
GGUUAAAAAGCUCGUAGUUGGAUUUCUGUCCGAGGCAGCCGGUCCGCACCUGGUGCGUGUAUCAGGUUUGACUAGGGCAUCCUCUUGGGGAACGUUUCUGUGCUUCAUUGCAUGGGACGGAAUUCAAGACUUUUACUUUGAGGAAAUUAGAGUGUUCACGGCAAGCUAUCGCUUUGAAUACAUUAGCAUGGAAUAAUAAUAUAGGGCGUAAGUCUUAUUUUGUUGGUUUCUAGGACAUACGCAAUGAUUAAUAGGGACAAUUGGGGGCAUUCGUAUUAACGCGUCAGAGGUGGAAUUCUUGGAUUGCGUUACGACGAACUACUGCGAAAGCAUUUGCCAAGGAUGUUUUCAUUGAUCAAGAACGAAAGUAUGGGGAUCGAAGACGAUUAGAUACCGUCGUAGUCUAUACCAUAAACUAUGCCAAUUAGAGAUUGGAGGUCGUGCGUUUUAUGACUCCUUCAGCACCUUAUGAGAAAUCAAAAUUUUUGGGUUCCGGGGGGAGUAUGGUCGCAAGGCUGAAACUUAAAGGAAUUGACGGAAGGGCACCACCAGGAGUGGAGCCUGCGGCUUAAUUUGACUCAACACGGGAAAACUUACCAGGUCCAGACAUAGUAAGGAUUGACAGAUUGAUAGCUCUUUCU